CCUACGGGUGGCAGCAGUGGGGAAUAUUGCACAAUGGGGGAAACCCUGAUGCAGCGACGCCGCGUGAGCGAAGAAGUAUUUCGGUAUGUAAAGCUCUAUCAGCAGGGAAGAAAAUGACGGUACCUGAGUAAGAAGCUCCGGCUAAAUACGUGCCAGCAGCCGCGGUAAUACGUAUGGAGCAAGCGUUAUCCGGAUUUACUGGGCGUAAAGGGAGCGUAGGCGGCCUGUCAAGUCUGAUGUUAAAUGCAGAAGCUCAACUUCUGUUCGGCACUGGAUACUGGUAAGCUUGAAUGCGGUAGAGGUAAAGGGAAUUCCUGGUGUAGCGGUGAAAUGCGUAGAUAUCAGGAGGAACAUCGGUGGCGUAAGCGCUUUACUGGGCCGUAAUUGACACUGAGGAACGAAAGCCGGGGUAGCAAAUGGGAUUAGAUACCCGUGUAGUC
rnacentral:rRNA from 1 species